UUUUUUUUUUUUUUUUUUUGCCUUUUCUAGGGCCACUCCCUCAGCACAUGGAGGUUCCCAGUCUAGGGGUCUAAUCGAUGCUGUAGCCACUGGCCUAGGCCUCAGCCACCACAAUGUGGGACCUGAGCCUUGUCUGCAGCCCACGGCAACACCAGAUCCUUAACCCACUGAGUGAGGCCAGGGAUCAAACCCGCAACCUCAUGGUUCCUAGUCGGAUUCGUUAACCACUGAGCCACGACGGGAACUCCUGCAGAGCCUCUUUGUACUUAACCUUGGAAGUCACACACAUCACUUCAGACACAUUCAAUUCAUCACUAGAAAGUUAUUGGCCAGUCCGAUUCAAAGGAGAGGAAUUAGACACCUACUGCUUGAUGGAUGGGGAGAUGAUAAGGUCAUCCUGUAGAAGAGCUUGUGAGACAUGCAAUAUGUCUUUGGAAUGUGCCAUCUGCCAUUGUCUUUGGAAUGUGCCAUCUGCCAUAACCAGUUUGGACCUCAGUGUGAAGUUAGACAAAGUUGCCUCUCCACUCCUACAGACCUAGUCCCAUGACUCUCCUCCUGUUUGUUGCCUUUACCCUCAAAUUCUUCCACAACCCAGAUUCUACUUUUCUCUAACAUCCCUUACAGAACUUCACUAUUUUGAGUCCCACUUUCCUCCUGACCCCAUUAGAUAACUGGAGGCAGCACUUGGCAGUGGAAAGAGCGCUGAAUGAAAAGUCACCUCCCAAUGCUUCUACCAGUGAUCCAGGUUCUCCUAGGCAACUCACCACAACUGCAGUUUUCUCAUUUACAUGAUACAGGCAUGUGGGUUUGGGGGAUAAGAUAAAACCAUCUUCAACAUCAAUUCUAAUCAUUCCUAAAUCUAAUAUGAGUUCAGGAGUAAACGGAUAACCACAAAAGAUCGCUAUUUAACCCUGCUAAAAAUAUUUAGUUAUAUCGUUCUUCAACAAUUUUGAGUAAAUACGGAAGAGAGGAGUUCAAAUGUCCUUUGGCAGCCACAAAUAGGUAAAAAGCUAGCAAAAAUAUGAAGAAUGCCACUGAAAUGACCAUGAAUGGUUUGUUGCAAAUACAUAAUCUAAGGGAUGUAUUCUAAGUUCCUCCAGUAAUGUGAUAGUUCACUGAACAUUAGCAUGGUUGUGAAGGGGAGACUCUACUGGAAGCAGUGACCCAGGGGUGCAUGUUCUUUCCAUUUUGUGGUUAUACAGUAGUUAUACCAUCUGGACAUGUGACCAUGGAGGAAGACAGAAGAAUGGAGAGGGUGGGGACCACACAGGCAUAUUUAUGUGCAACUCAGAAGUAGAGCACAUCACUCCUUCCCACAUCUUAUUGGCCAGAUUGCUGUCACAGGGUCUGAACCAACCCGUGAGAGAGUCUGGGAAAUGUAGUCUUCCUUUGUGCCUAGAAAAAAAGAAAUGGAUUGGCAAACAUCUAACACAUGACAGGACCACUUACAAAGGAGAUGUACUUUGUUUCCACCUUACACCAUUUGCUGCUUGGGGCCAUUUAAAGAGCUAUUCAUUGUCCAACCAAUUGGAUUCCAUAACCCAGAUCUCUCUUUGGUGGUUGAAAUAGCCAGAACAUGGUGUAUAAAAGCACAUACACACAUUCUCUCUCUCUCUCAUUGCUAGCAGCAAAUGUGCUAACAGCAUAGUUGAUUUGGGUCUAUUAAUAAUGGAUCCUCAUAAUAAGCAUAGCUCUGUGUCAGACACCAGGCUGUGUGUUUUACUUUCGUGCAUUAUCUCAAUUGAUCUUCACAGAAUUGUGUGAGGCAGUCAUUCAUUAUUAUUCUCAUUUUACAGAUGAGGAAAUGAAACUCAAGUGAGAUAAUUUGCUCAAAGUCAUCCCAUGACAAAGUGGCAAGGUCGGGACCCAUAUCUGAGUCCAUCUGGUUCUCGAACCAGUGCUCUUAACUGCUAUGCUGUACUGACCUCCCAUGUGUAAAGACACUGCCAGAGUGAGGAGGAAGGAGAUCCCAUGGGGAAGGAACUUCAGGCUUUUCUCAUCUUAUAGGCACAGUAGUUCUAAGUGUGACUUUCUGACCCUCCCAAGAGUUUUGCAUACAUGACCUGGACGGAUGCUGCACACAGUCCAGCUUUAUGUUGCACCACAGGAUGACGUUCCCACUGCUCUGCUCUGUCUCAAAGCCCGCUCCAUUUUCCACCCUGGCACAGGGAAUGAUCCCAGUGUGGAGCUUGGCUAUAAAACUCAGCCUGCACCACACUUGCUCACACUUGAUAUAUUGCCAUAUGCUAUCUUAAAAUGCUUGUAUGUGCAGCUUAAUCUUUGCACCUACAGGGGAAACGAGACCAAAGCCGUGCCUUUCCCCCAGCACCUAGUGCUGUACAAGGCACAGCAGAGGUGUCCGAGAAACACAUGCUGAUAUAGAGUGAGCAGCCAUGACGUCACCUCUGUACCUCAGUUUCCUCCUUUAUAACAUUAAGGGCUUUGGCAGGAGAAUAUCUAAGGGCUCAUCCAGCUCUAUGAUUCUACAUAUUGCUAGGCAUUCCUCUUCAAGGGCAUCCUGUUCAAAAACUUCAUAAAUUUUUCCUGCAAAGCCAAAGUCACUGAAUGGUCACAGGGCAAGGAUAGUCACAUAUUCACUAACUAACUAACCUUUCCAAACACAUGUGAUUAUAACUGAGUUUCCAUAAAGAAAAUUGCCUUUUAAAGUGACAGGAAGCCAUUAUUGUAAAAUGACUAAUAAUGCAGCAAAGAGCCGUAACGUGAUUCUUGCCCAAGUCAUUAAUCAAUUGAUGCAUUUUAACAAGGAGCUUCCUUAUGCAUUCGCUAGUCAUUUAUUCAAAUCAAGUAAAUAUUGUCCACAUUGUCCACUGAGAAAGAACAGGAUGAUUUAUUAAGGAAUUGAGAAGACCACAUUUCUUGGAGAAAUUUUACAAUGAAGGAUUCUUUCAAUAAAGUGUUUUCAAGGAGUCAGAUGGCCCUAUGGGCUAUGCAAUGUGUUUGCAUAUCUUGGAGCCUCAUCGAAUUCUGUCUAGCAGCCUAAUGCAGUGAGGUUUAAGGCUACUCCCCUUGCCUCCUGGAUCAGUUGCUCUCACACUUGAGGACAAUACCAUUCAAGAGGCAAUAGCUUGGUAACAAAGACCCUGAUAGCCAUUUGUACUUUUAAGUCAAUGGCUUGCCUCCCUUCCUGGUUUAUCAAAUACGUAGGUACUUUGCAAACCAAAAGCUUCGAACUUAGAUGGGUUUCGUUGGAACCUGGCAGCAUCUCCUAGCAGGAUUUGUCAGCUCUAUUCCAUAGCUAUUAUCACUUCCACAAGGAGAGGACAGAGGCAAGAUAGUUCUAGGACCUGCAACCAAGGACUUUUUCCUGUUUAGAAGGAAAUGCUCAAAACAACCUCAAAUGUGAAGCUACUGGAAAACUAUAGAUGAUGAUCCACUUACCACUAACCAGGAUAUGAUAACAUUGAAGGUCAGAGCAGUCAAUAGGUGCCAAGUUAGGGCAAAAUUUAGACCAGAAUAUAUCUACCCAAUGGCAAAGUAUCUCGUAAAUUCAAGUAAUUUUUUUAAAGCAUAUCCUUUAAAUUUAGGUAAGGAUAUAGAUAUAUAGAGAGUGAUUUUUUUUUCCUUUCAUAUGGGCUGUUGAAACAUCCUAGAAACACUACCUGGGACUUUUCCCAGGAGUUUUGUGAUCUGAUUUUUGCCAACUGGCCUCAAACACAUCUGUACACACACUCAGAGACACGUACGCCAAUACAGAGUUAGCAAGCUUCUUCACUUUUUACUGUGGCCCCCAGACACUUAGAGGAUUCCCUGUCCCCCAGAAAGAACAUUGCCAAGGCUCCUGCAAGUGUGGAAGAGUGUACUCCUUCCUUCCAAAGAAAUGAUGGAAUUAAAAGGGAGGCUCAAAAUCCGAAGCAAAAAAGGGAGGCUCUGUGUGGGCAACAUCUUAAGCCACCUCACCUUGCAUUUUUAUCAUAUAUAAGGGUCCAUUCGGAGCUGUAGCCACCAGCCUAUGCCACAGCCACAGCAACACUGGAUCUGAGCUGCAUCUGUGACCCACACCACAGCUCACAGCAACUCCGGAUUCUUAACUCACUGAGUAAGGCCAGGGAUCCGAAGUAAACAAAAACACUAAUUUGAAACACUAAUAUGUGCACCCCAGUGUUCACAGCAGCAUUAUUUACAAUAGCCAAGAUAUGGAAGCAAACGAAGUGUUCAUCAAGAGGAGAUUGGAUGAAGAAAACAUGGUAUGUAUACACAAUGGACUGUUGGCCAUAAAAAAAAGGAUGAAAUUCUGCCAUUUGAAAAAACAUGGAUGGGCCUAAAAGGUAUUAUGUUUAGUGAAAUAAGUCAGACAAAGGCAAAUACUCUAUCACUUAUAUGUAGAAUCUAAAAUUUAAAAAAAAGGCAAACAAAUGCAUAUAACAAAACAGAAACAGACUCACAUGUCUAGGGAAUAAACUAGAUGAGACCAAUGGGGAGAGAGAAGGGGGAGGGGCAAGAUCAGGCUAUGGGAUUAAGACCUACAAACGACUAUGAAUAAAGUAAAUAAGCUACCAGGAUAUAUUGUACAGCACAUGGAAUAUAGCCUAUACUUUGUAAUGACUUUAAAUAGAGUAUAAUCUGUAAAAAUAAGAAAUCACAAAAAGAACUUGAGAACAAAAAAUCAAUAAAUUAUUGAAUGGGAAAAGGCUCUAACUUGUGCUCAGUUCUACAAACAUAGAGUCCUGCCAUUGCUGUUUACCCUUUCCAAUCCUAAUCCUUAACUUGCUUGACCAAAAAAAGUCUCGAUAGCUCUCUUCUCUUCUCCGCCAUCCUAUGUGCAGUUGAAUUAGUUCUUUGCCAUGUCUUCUCACGAGACUUUCAAGAUCAAGCGAUUCCUGGCCAAGAAGCAAAAGCAGAAUCGUCCCAUCCCCAAUGGAUUUGAAUGAAAACUGGUAAUAAAAUCAGGCACAACUCGAACAGAAGCCAUUGGAGAAGAACGAAGCUGGGUUUGUAAGGAGCCUCCGCACAUGAGGUGGUGCAUGUGUUUGUGCUGCAUGGCGGUCACGUCCUUGCAUCUUCCCAUAUCGCACUGAAAACAGCACAGCUACAGCUGGAUGUAUCAGGAAAUGGGUUCUCUUUAUGUUGUUGUUUCUGUAUAGCGCUUUGCCUCAGGAAUAAAUAUGUGAAGGCCAAAAAGAAAAAAAAAGUCUCAAUAAUCUGAUCUUUUUUUAGCAAGAGCAAGGUUGAAUUACAGCUGGAUGUUUCAUUGUCUCAUAGGGAAGAAGUUUUCCCACAAGAGCAAAGACUACAUCACCCUCACUCCCACCAAAGAGAGGCAGCAUGGGAAGCACAAAACUCCUUCCCAGGAGGGUGCAGAGAAAGCAGGGAGGGGCGAGGAAAUCCCCUUAGGCUCUCCUUAUACUGUGUGAACACAGUCUCUCCAAGUCCAGGGCUAAUGGCCUAGCACUUUAUCCCCUGGGAAAAAUAUUAGCCCUUAGCAAAUGAAUAGACCUUGAAGUUUUCCUUCAGGGAAACAGGUACUAUUCAAAUCUCUGCAACAGCCGAAUGCUAAUGUACAGCCACAGCAGGAGCAGUGAAGGUACACUGCAUGCAUGAUAUUGGCCCCUAAUUAAUCAAACUACUUCCAGGCCUGUCCACAGCCAAUGGAUUAUCUCUAAUUUAGUUCAGUGCCACAUGGAAGUGUAUAUUUCUGCUAUGAAUAGAGCUCUAGAGGUUUAUGGAUUCUAAAGGCUGGAAGAUGUCUUAGGGCCACUGAGCCCAAAAGCCAGUUCCAUGCACAUCCAUGAUUCUGUCCUCAAUACAUGGCCAAGCUGAAGGUCUUGACCUUCCUAGAUGAGGUCCCCUCGCACAAGGAUGGGCAGGCCGAGGCUGAGCUCCUGGUUGAUCUGCUCAGUGGGGCUCUGAGGGAAGAGAGGAGAGCCUAAUGCAACAGCAAUGAUGUGGCCAAGGUGCAUCAUUAGAAUCAAGACAGGAUGCUGGGGGCAAAGGAGAAUUUGGGUGAAGAUUUUUAAUGAGAAUUAUGCAGAGACAAGGGGAGAGAGUGUGGACAGAUCAUCCCACACAUGGGGCCAAGAUUCCUUUUGGAUGCACACUCAUGGGUUCUGGAGUGAAAUCACAAGCCAGGUUGAGGUCUUCAGGGGUACGAACCACCACCAAACAAUGAGAACUGAAGAGGAUGGUGAAAUGUCAUCUAAAGAUAUUGACUGAUGAAUUGGGAGUCAGCAGCCCUGGGCUCCAGGUCUGACCUCUGGGGAAGCAGAAUGAAGAGACUGCAGAGUUGUUAAAGCAUUUCCAGUGUUGCAGGUACUCAGUAGUCACAGGGCUGAGGGAUUUUCUGUUAAAGCUGGCAUGGUUGGCAUUUCCCAUCCUGAUCAAGAAGGUUCGUGCACAGCAGUCCCCAGACCCCCGAUGGCUGUGAUAAGUAAAUGUUUUACAGCAUGAAUGUCCUAGAGAGGAGACUUCUAAUAGGAAAUGGCAAGAGAUCCUCCUAGGAGAAUGUCUUUCUCACAAACCUCCUAAGAAUCAUUCUAAAUGUCACCACACAUAAACCCAAUUGAUCAUUUCUUAGGAAUUGUGCCUCUCAGAGCUCCCUCUGAAUGCAGCCCUAGGGGGUGCUCUGAAAUCCAUCACUGAGUUGUGUGGAGGCCACAC
rnacentral:lncRNA from 1 species